UCAUGAGAUGACUGAAAAUUCCAGGUGGCC
rnacentral:piRNA from 1 species